rnacentral:rRNA from 1 species
GACGUAGGGGGCGAGCGUUGUCCGGAUUUAUUGGGCGUAAAGGGCGCGUAGGCGGGCGAGCAAGUUCGGGGUGAAAUCUUUCGGCUCAACCGGAAAAGGGCCUCGGAGACUGCUCGUCUGGAGGGAGGUAGGGGCAGGUGGAACUGCUGGUGGAGCGGUGAAAUGCGUUGAUAUCAGCAGGAACGCCGGUGGCGAAAGCGACCUGCUGGACCUCUUCUGACGCUGAGGCGCGAAAGCUAGGGGAGCAAACGGG